rnacentral:rRNA from 1 species
AACGAACGCUGGCGGCAGGCCUAACACAUGCAAGUCGAACGCCGUAGCAAUACGGAGUGGCAGACGGGUGAGUAACGCGUGGGAACCUUCCCUAUGGUUCGGAAUAGCUCAGGGAAACCUGGGGUAAUACCGGAUAAGCCCUUCGGGGGAAAGAUUUAUCGCCAUUGGAUGGGCCCGCGUCGGAUUAGCUAGUUGGUGAGGUAACGGCUCACCAAGGCGACGAUCCGUAGCUGGUCUGAGAGGAUGAUCAGCCACACUGGGACUGAGACACGGCCCAGACUCCUACGGGAGGCAGCAGUGGGGAAUAUUGGACAAUGGGCGAAAGCCUGAUCCAGCCAUGCCGCGUGAGUGACGAAGGCCUUAGGGUUGUAAAGCUCUUUUGGCGGGGAAGAUAAUGACGGUACCCGCAGAAUAAGCUCCGGCUAACUUCGUGCCAGCCGCCGCCGUAAGAC